UACGUAGGGGGCAAGCGUUAUCCGGAUUUACUGGGUGUAAAGGGAGCGUAGACGGCAUGGCAAGCCAGAUGUGAAAUACCGGGGCUCAACCCCGGGACUGCAUUUGGAACUGUUAAGCUGGAGUGUCGGAGAGGCAGGCGGAAUUCCUAGUGUAGCGGUGAAAUGCGUAGAUAUUAGGAGGAACACCAGUGGCGAAGGCGGCCUGCUGGACGAUAACUGACGUUGAGGCUCGAAAGCGUGGGGAGCGAACAGG
rnacentral:rRNA from 1 species